CCUACGGGUGGCUGCAGUCGAGAAUCAUUCACAAUGGGGGAAACCCUGAUGGUGCGACGCCGCGUGGGGGAAUGAAGGUCUUCGGAUUGUAAACUCCUGUCAUGUGGGAGCAAAUUAAAAAGAUAGUACCACAAGAGGAAGAGACGGCUAACUCUGUGCCAGCAGCCGCGGUAAUACAGAGGUCUCAAGCGUUGUUCGGAAUCACUGGGCGUAAGGCGUGCGUAGGCUGUUUCGUAAGUCGGGUGUGAAAGGCGGGGGCUCAACCCGCGGAUGGCACAUGAUACUGGGAGCCUAGAGUAAUGGAGGGGGAACCGGAAUUCUCGGUGUAGCAGUGAAAUGCGUAGAUAUCGAGAGGAACACUCGUGGCGAAGGCGGGUUCCUGGACAUUAACUGACGCUGAGGCACGAAGGCCAGGGGAGCGAAAGGGAUUAGAUACCCCAGUAGUC
rnacentral:rRNA from 1 species